UCAAGCAAAAAAGAGCGCAGGGUGGAUGCCUUGGCACUAAGAGCCGAAGAAAGACGUGAUAAGCUGCGAAAAGCUGCGGGGAGGAGCAAAUAUCCACUGAUCCGCAGAUGUCUGAAUGGGGAAACCCGCAUGAGCACACCUCAUGCAUCCAUACGCCAAUCCAUAACGUAUGGAAGGGAACCGCCUGAACUGAAACAUCUAAGUAGGGCGAGGAAGAGAAAGAAAAUUUAUCGAUUUCCAAAGUAGCGGCGAGCGAAAUGGAAAGAGGCCAAACCGGAGUGCGUGCACUCCGGGGUUCGGACCGCAUUUAAGAUCUGAUGAUCCUAGCAGAAAGGUUUUGGGAAAGCCUGCCGGAGAGGGUGAAAGCCCCGUAAGCGAAAGGAAAGCCAGCUGAGCGGUAUCCAGAGUACAUCGAGACACGAGAAACCUUGAUGGAAUGAGCGGGGACCACCCCGUAAGCCUAAAUACUCCUUAGUGACCGAUAGCGCAUAGUACUGUGAAGGAAAGGUGAAAAGGACCCCGGGAGGGGAGUGAAAGAGAACCUGAAACCCUGUGUUUACAAGCUGUGGGACAUCUUUACAUGAUGAACCGCGUACUUUUUGUAGAACGGUCCGGCGAGUUGCGGAUGCCGGCAAGGUUAAGCACUUAAGGUGUGGAGCCGAAGGGAAACCAAGUCUGAAGAGGGCGCAUAUAGUCAGUAUCCGCAGACCCGAAACCGGGUGAUCUACCCAUGUCCAGGUUGAAGUUGCCGUAAAAGGCAAUGGAGGACCGAACGCACAUCCGUUGAAAAGGGUGGCGAUGAGGUGUGGGUAGGGGAGAAAUUCCAAUCGAACCCGGAGAUAGCUGGUUCUCCUCGAAAUAGCUUUAGGGCUAGCCUCGUUUUAGUCUUAUGGAGGUAGAGCACUGAAUUUCCGCGGGGGCGUCAAAGCUUACCAAAGAAUAUCAAACUCCGAAUGCCAUGUAGAUGAUGAACGGGAGUCAGACUGCACGAGAUAAGUUGGGCAGUCAAAAGGGAAAGAGCCCAGACCGCCAGCCAAGGUCCCAAAGUGUGUGUUAAGUGGAAAAGGAUGUGGGAUCUCCAAGACAACUAGGAUGUUGGCUCAGAAGCAGCCACACAUUCAAAGAGUGCGUAACAGCUCACUAGUCGAGAGGUCCUGCGCCGAAAAUGUCCGGGGCUGAAACACAACACCGAAGCUGCGGAAUUGCGAAUGCAAUUGGUAGAGGAGCAUUCUUAAUACCGACGAAGCUGUACCGGAAGGAGCAGUGGAGGGAUAAGAAGAGAGAAUGCCGGAAUGAGUAGCGAGAGAGAGGUGGGAAUCCUCUCGGCCGAAUAUCCAAGGUUUCCAGAGUAAAGCUGAUCUGCUCUGGGUAAGUCGGGGCCUAAGGCGAGGUCAGGUGACGUAGCCGAUGGACAACAGGUUUAGAUUCCUGUACCGCAUAUAAACAGAACUGUGGGGACGCAUGGGGAGAGCAUGGGCCGGGAAUGGAAAUACCGGUGCAAGCGAAGGAGGUGUGCAGCCGGCAAAUCCGCUGCAUGAGCCGAAAGCGUGACGCGGAGCGAAAUGAAAGUAGCGAAGCAUGUGAGCCCUGUGCCGAGAAAAGCCGCUAUAGCUUUAUAUGUGCCCGUACCGUAAACCGACACAGGUGGAUGAGGAGAGAAUCCUAAGGCCGGCGGAAGAAGUAUUGUUAAGGAACUCGGCAAAAUGACCCCGUAACUUCGGGAGAAGGGGUGCCCACGGGAGUGGGCCGCAGAGAAUAGGCUCAAGCAACUGUUUAGCAAAAACACAGGUCUAUGCGAAACCGAAAGGUGAAGUAUAUGGGCUGACGCCUGCCCGGUGCUGGAAGGUUAAGAGGAGAGGUUAGCGCAAGCGAAGCUUUGAAUUUAAGCCCCAGUAAACGGCGGCCGUAACUAUAACGGUCCUAAGGUAGCGAAAUUCCUUGUCGGGUAAGUUCCGACCCGC
rnacentral:rRNA from 1 species